rnacentral:rRNA from 1 species
UACGAAGGGGGCUAGCGUUGUUCGGAAUUACUGGGCGUAAAGCGCACGUAGGCGGAUAUUUAAGUCAGGGGUGAAAUCCCGGGGCUCAACCCCGGAACUGCCUUUGAUACUGGGUAUCUAGAGUCCGGAAGAGGUGAGUGGAAUUCCGAGUGUAGAGGUGAAAUGCGUAGAUAUCGGGAGGAACACCAGUGGCGAAGGCGGUUGCCUGGAGCUUUGCUGACGCUGAUGCGCGAAAGCGUGGGGAGCGAACAGG